rnacentral:rRNA from 2 species
AAAUUGAAGAGUUUGAUCAUGGCUCAGAUUGAACGCUGGCGGCAGGCCUAACACAUGCAAGUCGAACGGUAGCACAGAGAGCUUGCUCUCGGGUGACGAGUGGCGGACGGGUGAGUAAUGUCUGGGAAACUGCCUGAUGGAGGGGGAUAACUACUGGAAACGGUGGCUAAUACCGCAUAACGUCGCAAGACCAAAGAGGGGGACCUUCGGGCCUCU